AGUGAACGCUGGCGGUAGGCCUAACACAUGCAAGUCGAACGGCAGCACAGUAAGAGCUUGCUCUUACGGGUGGCGAGUGGCGGACGGGUGAGGAAUACAUCGGAAUCUACUUUUUCGUGGGGGAUAACGUAGGGAAACUUACGCUAAUACCGCAUACGACCUACGGGUGAAAGCAGGGGAUCUUCGGACCUUGCGCGAUUGAAUGAGCCGGUGUCGGAUUAGCUAGUUGGCGGGGUAAAGGACCACCAAGGCGACGAUCCGUAGCUGGUCUGAGAGGAUGAUCAGCCACACUGGAACUGAGACACGGUCCAGACUCCUACGGGAGGCAGCAGUGGGGAAUAUUGGACAAAGGGCGCAAGCCUGAUCCAGCCAUACCGCGUGGGUGAAGAAGGCCUUCGGGUUGUAAAGCCCUUUUGUUGGGAAAGAAAAGCAGCAGGUUAAUACCCCGCUGUUCUGACGGUACCCAAAGAAUAAGCACCGGCUAACUUCGUG
rnacentral:rRNA from 1 species